AACGAACGCUGGCGGCAUGCCUAACACAUGCAAGUCGAACGAGACCUUCGGGUCUAGUGGCGCACGGGUGCGUAACGCGUGGGAACCUGCCCUUAGGUUCGGAAUAACUCCCCGAAAGGGGUGCUAAUACCGGAUAAUGUCUUCGGACCAAAGAUUUAUCGCCUUUGGAUGGGCCCGCGUUGGAUUAGCUAGUUGGUAGGUUAAAAGCCUACCAAGGCGACGAUCCAUAGCUGGUCUGAGAGGAUGAUCAGCCACACUGGGACUGAGACACGGCCCAGACUCCUACGGGAGGCAGCAGUGGGGAAUAUUGGACAAUGGGCGAAAGCCUGAUCCAGCAAUGCCGCGUGAGUGAUGAAAGCCUUAGGGUUGUAAAGCUCUUUUACCCGGGAUGAUAAGGACAGUACCGGGAGAAUAAGCUCCGGCGAACUCCGU
rnacentral:rRNA from 1 species